AUCACCUGGGGAUCCUGCUGAAAUGCACAUUCUGAUUCAGCAGGUCUGGGGUGCGGCCCAAGAUUCUGCAUUUCUAACAAGCUCCCAGGGGAUGCUGA
rnacentral:pre_miRNA from 1 species